rnacentral:tmRNA from 1 species
GGGGCUGACCGGAAUUGACGGGAAGCAUUGGAGGUAAACCAGCGUGCCGUGGGUGUGUAAUACCACGUUAAUCCAUUGCGCGAAAUAGUUUUAACUGGCGAAGAUUCUUACGCCAUGGCUGCUUAAUCUUAGAGAUUAACCACCAUUUGCUUCACGCUUGAGGCACCAUACACAGCGUGCCAGCAACCAAAAAUUGGUGACGCCCGAUUCAAGAUUCAUCUACUUGUUUCGAAGCGUAUGACAGAUGUAAGAAAAGAGUUGGAGGGUUACUUAUCCGGCUCGAUUCCGACAAUCAAUAAGUAACUACACAUGUAGAUAGUUUAUCGUCAACUUGUCCGGACGUGGGUUCGAAUCCCACCAGCUCCACAA